ACCUGAAUGGCUCAGUUGGUAGAGCAUGUGACUCUUGAUCUUGGGGUUGUGAGUUCAACCCCCACACUGGGUA
rnacentral:tRNA from 1 species